GACGAACGCUGGCGGCGUGCUUAACACAUGCAAGUCGAACGGAAAGGCCCUGCUUGCAGGGUACUCGAGUGGCGAACGGGUGAGUAACACGUGGGUGAUCUGCCCUGCACUUCGGGAUAAGCCUGGGAAACUGGGUCUAAUACCGGAUAGGAGCCAUUUUUAGUGUGAGGGUUGGAAAGUUUUUUGGGUGUGGGAUGAGCUCGCGGCCUAUCAGGUUGGUGGUGGGGUAAUGGGCUACCAAGGCGGCGACGGGUAGCCGGCCUGAGAGGGUGGACGGCCACAAUGGGACUGAGAAACGGCCCAGGACCCUAAGGGGGGGAGGCGUGGGGAAUAUUGCAACAAGGGGGCAAGGCCGGUGCAGCGACGCCGCGUGGGGGAAGACGGGCUUCGGGUUGGAAAAUCGUUUCGCUAGGGAAGAAGCUUUUUGUGACGGUACCUAGAUAAGAAGCACCGGCUAACUACGUG
rnacentral:rRNA from 1 species